AGGACAUAAAUCCAGUUUGCUUUUUGCUUAAGGAUGAUAAAUGAAAAUUGAAAGCCUUGCACUGUAUCGUGAGAUAGAACCUGGCAUCUCUUCAUGCAUAUUCUCUGCUCCUUGAGGAAAUGGACCAUGGCUUUAUACUUCAUUGUAUUAAGUAUAAUUCCAGGAUUGUAAAGAGCAGAGCCUUCCAGGAAUAACGAGCCACCCCAGUGAAGGUUCCAAGGCAAGAGCAGGUCUGUUAUGCUCCAGGAACAGCAAGGAGCCCUGUGGAUG